GACGAACGCUGGCGGCGUGCUUAACACAUGCCAGUCGAACGGAAAGGCCCUGCUUUUGUGGGGUGCUCGAGUGGCGAACGGGUGAGUAACACGUGAGUAACCUGCCCUUGACUUUGGGAUAACUUCAGGAAACUGGGGCUAAUACCGGAUAGGAGCUCCUGCUGCAUGGUGGGGGUUGGAAAGUUUCGGCGGUUGGGGAUGGACUCGCGGGUUAUCAGCUUGUUGGUGGGGUAGGGGCUUACCAAGGCUUUGACGGGUAGCCGGCCUGAGAGGGUGACCGGCCACAUUGGGACUGAGAUACGGCCCAGACUCCUACGGGAGGCAGCAGUGGGGAAUAUUGCACAAUGGGCGGAAGCCUGAUGCAGCAACGCCGCGUGCGGGAUGACGGCCUUCGGGUUGUAAACCGCUUUCGCCUGUGACGAAGCGUGAGUGACGGUAAUGGGUAAAGAAGCACCGGCUAACUACGUG
rnacentral:rRNA from 1 species